AUACCUUUCUCGGCCUUUUGGCUAAGAUCAAGUGUAGUAUCUGUUCUUAUCAGUUUAAUAUCUGAUACGUGGGCCAUUGGCUCACAUGAUAUUAAUUAACUCAAUUUUUAUAGGGUAAAGGCCCAUUUAGGUAGCUUGCUGCCUGGGCCUUUGAGUGUCACCUUGGUAGUGCACUAUUACCUUGGCCUGGCACACCCCAC